GAUGAACGCUGGCGGCGUGCCUAACACAUGCAAGUCGAACGGACGAGAAGAGCUUGCUCUUCGAGUUAGUGGCGGACGGGUGAGUAAUGUAUGAGCAACCUGCCUUUCAGAGGGGGACAACAGUUGGAAACGACUGCUAAUACCGCAUAAUGUACCGAGGGGGCAUCCCCAUGGUACCAAAGGAGCAAUCCGCUGAAAGAUGGGCUCAUAUCUGAUUAGUUAGUUGGUGGGGUAACGGCUCACCAAGACUGCGAUCAGUAGCCGGACUGAGAGGUUGAACGGCCACAUUGGGACUGAGAUACGGCCCAGACUCCUACGGGAGGCAGCAGUGGGGAAUAUUGGGCAAUGGGCG
rnacentral:rRNA from 1 species